AGGGUGUGCUCAGAGCAGGGAGCCUGAAGGAAUGGCUCCUCAGUUUACAACACACCCAACAGGAGCUCGGGGCCGCUGUGUGGAAGGGCACAGAACUUGUGCCCUUCCUGUGAGCAGACGCCCUACAUAU